AAGGGCGAGGUGAGCUCGUUGGGUGGUGGAGCCCCCCCCCGUUCUGUCUCGCUGUUGCCUUUCUCGUCGUCCUCCUCUCUCCUCUGUGCGCAGUGAAGUGUUGUGCUGCUCUGCCACUGCCACCAGCAUUUACCAGCCGCUUGCUCGCCUUUCUCUUUCUCGGUUAGCUCGCCAUUUUUUUUUUAAUCAGCAAUAAACAAACAAAAGCUCGCCGAGCUGAGCUGACAGCUGAGCAGCACUAGCUUCAGCAGCGAGUGAGAACUCCCACUUCCAUUGCCUGCUUGCUUCUGCUUCCCUGCAUCUGCGAGCGUUCCGGCGGCGGCGGCCGCCGGCCCGGCCGACUCAGCGGCGACCGCGACCAUGAAGGGCGUCGACGAUGCGUUCCUCGGCGUCGGCGACAAGCCGUGCGUCCCCUCCCCUCUCAUCCUCUCUUGUCCUUUCCGUUUUGUUCUUUUACUGUCCUGUUCGGUUGGAGUAUUGUUCUCUGCUAGCUAGGACAAGAAUCUAGAUUCGGGCCUGCAUUUGAAUAUGCCUCGCGCAUCCUACUCCUGCUGCCUUUAUUUAUUCCCUUUUUUCCUUUAUAUAGUAUAAGGGAUGCAGACUUUUUUGCUUAGGAACCAAUUAUUUACCUGCAAAGUUGCUUGCUAUGAAAAAUAACAAGACUACUCCAAGCAUGAUCUCACUCUUUUUGUUAUGAUAUGAAAAAUAUGGAUCCUUAUGAUUCUGAAAGUGAAUCUGGGAUGCUAGGAGGGAAAUGGCUUCCAUGAUGCUCAAACUGAAACCUGAAUGUACCAUUUAAUCUGGCCAAUUUACUUUUCUCUAUUUCACCCCUGCUCUGUAAAAUUCCAGAGGGCUGGACAUUUGGUGCAUUGUUGGGAGCAGUCUGGUCCCGGUUGCAAAACCCCAGCACGGCAAGUUCUACACCGGCAGCACCUACAUCAUACUGAAUGUAUGUACUCCUAUCUCUGCGCCAAAUCGGGCCUCUCCCGGUGUGAAAUCGUGUAGCUCGUUGCCAAUUUUCGCAGCUUGAGUUGACAUGUUGUGCAUUUUCUCAGACAACCGAGCUGAAAUCCGGGGCUCGUCGACACAAUGUGCAUUACUGGGUUGGGGAGGAGGCCAAAGAGGUGUGUGCUCUUGAUGCACCAAAGUCAAAGCUUUUGGUUUGCUGUGCCUCAUUUUGCUUAUGGAUGACUUUUUUGUGUCCUCUGCACUGCGUUGUGGUUAUGGACUCACCUAGGACGAUUGCCUCAUGGCCUCAGACAAGGCUGUUGAGUUGGACGCGGCACUGGGCUCCAGCACGGUCCAGUACAGGGAAACACAGGGUGAAGAAUCUGACAAGUUCUUGUCAUACUUCAAACCGUGUGUCAUCCCAGUACAAGGCUGCUUCUUUUCACACCUGAAAGGAUCUGGUGAUAGAUCCAACGCGACCACGAUGUUUAGAUGCCAAGGAGAGCACAUUGCUCGCGUCACACAAGUAAGAGGGCUACUAUCUCAAGAUUUUCAUUAGUUUGCUGAAAAGCUGAUGCAAGACAAACCUGCUGUGUUUCUAAUCCUGUCUCAGAUUCCAUUUACGCGGUCCUCUCUGGAUCACAAAUCGGUUUUUAUAGUGGACACGCCGUCGAAGAUCUUCCUUUUCAGUGGCUGUAAUUCUAGUUUGCAAACAAGGGCGAAAGCGUUGGAUGUUGUUAAGCAUCUGAAGGAGAACCGACACUUGGGCAGAUGUGAGAUCGCGGCAAUAGGUACAGCUAUAGACAGUUGAUCUUUCAAAAUAAUGGCUUGAAAGAUGCUAUCUCCAAUUUUAUUUACAUUGUCACUGGUUGUAGAGGAUGGAAAGCUUGUUGGUGAUUCUGAUGCUGGUGAGUUCUGGAACCUGUUUGGAGGCUAUGCACCUAUUCCUCGUGAUUUACCUGACACAGUCAAGGAAGAGCCACUGACUGCACCAUCCAAGAAACUUUUUUGGUAACUGAUCCCCUGCUUAGUUCAAACUGAACUGGCCUGAAGUUGCAUGUCGUGAGAUGUUUGGUAUGCUGUUUGGUAUGCUUUCCUGCCUGCAGGAUCAAUAAGAGAAACCUUGUUCCAUUGGAGGCACAUUUGUUGGAUAGAGAAAUGCUGAACUCAGACAGAAGUUACAUGCUGGACUGUAGCACUGAAAUAUUCUUAUGGAUGGGGAUGACAACACUAGUUUCGGAGAGGAAGUCAUCUGUUACUGUCUUAGAAGUAAGCAGUUGGAACCUCAUUAUAUUCCUUUCUUUCUUUUAUUACUACAAGAGUUUGAAAAUAAUAUAUCUUUUCAUUUCUCUAGGAUUAUAUGCACUCCCAGGGCAGGUCAUUCAAUGUUCGCACAUUUAUAAUGACAGAAGGUCAUGAAACUGUUGACUUUAAGCUGCACUUUCAGCAUUGGCCCAGGAAUGUUGAACUAAAGUUAUAUGAGGCUGGCCGAGAGAAAGUGGCAGGUGUGAGGACCAUGGUGAUUUUGUCCAUCAAUUGUUUUUAUCUAGAACAUUGUAAAAGUCUUGAUAGAGUCUGAUGCUAAAUCAUGGUACAGCUAUUUUCAAGCAUCAGGGUUAUGAUGUCACAGAAAUUCCAGAGGAUAAACCUCAGCAGCUCAUCAGUUGUAAUGGCAGUCUGAAGGUAAUGUUACCUACCUAGGUGUUGAUAUGUAUGUAGCAUGUUAAAAACGAAUGAAUUCAUUGCAGGUGUGGUUGGUGGACCAUGGCUGUACAAACCUCCUUAGCACUGAGGACCAGGAGCAGUUGUACACUGGAGACUGUUAUAUCAUACGGUACAGCUAUGUUGAAGAUGGAAAAGAUUACCAUCUUUUCUUUGCUUGGUCUGGUAAGAAUAGUGUAAAGGUACGUUAUUUGUAAUUCUGUGCAUGGAACCUAUUGAUAUUCAGAGAAGAUGCUGUUACAAACAUGGUCCACAACUAUUAAGAUCCAGAUCUAUUGCUUGUCUCUGUUUACACAUACAUGUGCAAUUUCACUGUUUUGCAUGUUACUUAACUUAGCCUGUUCAUUUAUCUGCAGGACGAUAGCAUGUUGGCAACAUCGUUAAUGUCUAGCAUGGCUGAUUCAGUCAAAGGGCAUCCAGUUGUGGUCGGUUAAUUCAGCCUUUCACCCCUAAAAUAAUGCACACAUCUCUACACUUGCUCUGUUAUCACUUCAUUUGCAAAAUAUAUCUCAGGCAAAAGUUUUCGAGGGCAGAGAACCAGAAUUGUUUUUCUCGGUGUUCAAGUCACUAAUCAUAUUCAAGGUACGCAAUGCACGUUCAUAAGUGUUUUCCUUGAAUAUUAAUUAUAAAAAUAGGAGCGAAGCAAAUGAAUAACAUGGAAAUUAAUGCUUUGAGUCAGUGCAAAACUUGGAUAUUACUACUUGAAUUUGUUUUUUCUUUCCAGGGGGGCAGGAGUGCUGCAUAUAAGAGUUCUGUUCUACAGAAAAAUCCUAGAAAUGGAUAUCAUCAGAAGGAAGGAGUCGCCCUGUUCCGUGUUCAAGGCCUUAAACAUGAUUGUGUGCAAGCCAUUCAAGUUGAUCUGGUGAGUUUGGUAAAAAUAAGGACCAUACGCACAGUCUGCUUCAGUAGUAUGAAUCAUACAUACAUUACUUUGAUGCUGCUCUAAAAUCUUUUCUUGUGCAUGGAUUACUUAACUAAAAUGCAGGCUGCAAGUUCACUUAAUUCCUCGCACUGUUAUAUUUUGGAAGACAAUGGUUUGUUCCUUACCUGGUUAGGAAGCCUCUCUUCACCAAACGAUCAUAAUAUUCUUGACUUGAUGAUGAACAAGUUGUGUGUAAGGAGAAUACGGCAUGCAAAUCCUUCUUUUCUUCUCAGUGAAUCGGUGAUGAAUAUUGAGUCUUAUGUAGCAUAUAUAUUCUAUUCUGAACUAUUGUAGCACUGUUUUUGCAGCCAAUGAAACAGUCCUUGCUAGUCAGAGAAGGCUCUGAGCCGGAUCACUUCUGGAUAGCUUUGGGAGGACGAUCAGAGUACUCGAAAGAAAAGCGCGUGAAGGGUUGGCCAGCAGAUCCACAUCUGUAUGCUUGUAGAUUUGAACAAGGUAUGCAGACAUUUUACACUGAACUUUAGAUAAUAUUGUUAUAUCGUUGCAUAGAAUGUGUCUCUAAGCCCAAAGGAUGAUCUCUUUGCAGGUUUGCUCAAGGUGAGUGCUACCUUACUCCUUCCAGUGACAAACUAACUAGUAACUUGCAGGAUCUGAAUCAAAUGCCAAAUAAAACCUGUUUCGGUUCAUCUCUUUAAGGUCAAGGAGGUAUUCAGCUUCUGUCAGGAUGACCUGGCAACUGAAGCGACAUUGAUUCUGGACUGCGAUGAAGAAAUCUACGUUUGGGUUGGGCUACACUCAGACAUUACAUCCAAGGAGCAAGCCCUGAAUAUUGGCAAGGUCACUAGUGAUUCAGAACUAUGAUUUGUUAUUGAUUCAGGGACAAUGCCCUUUGAAACCCAACUUUUCUGUUUCUUUCUACAUACAUGCAGAUGUUCCUUCAGGAUGGCAUUUUUCACAGUGGAAGAUCGAUUGAAACGACGGUGUAUACAGUCACAGAAGGGGACGAGCCUGUAUUUUUCACCAAUUUCUUCAACAACUGGGACAAUUCCAAGCAAUCAUCUGUAAGUUCUAAGCACAGAUAUGGUGGAUAAUUCAAGAUCUCAUAAACUGCAUCUGUCCAAUUCAUCAAUGCAUAUAAACAAAGUCACCGGUUGACAAGUCUGGUUUCUGUUGUACAUGCAGAUGGUUGGCAACUCAUUUGAGAGGAAGCUGGCCGUCCUGAAAGGAGUCUCUCCAAAACUAGAGGUUUUUUUUUUUUUUUUUUUUUUACUUUUUCUGAAUGCUGCCACUUCAUUCAACCGUUGGUCGACAAAAUUCCUACAUGUAUAAAAUCCCUACAUUAUUGUCAUGGUAUUGAGAGUUUGAGACUCUGUUUUCGGUUGCCUGUGACGCAGACACCGGACAGAAGCAUGCGCAGGCCGCCAUCGAGGAGGCCCGGGGUAUCGUCGGAGCCGACCACGCCGGAGCACCAACACCAGCAGCCGACGGCGAGGAGGGCCUUUGGCUCCGCGUCUGCCGGGAGGUUUGGCAGGGAGCGCUCACCAGCUGCCGCACCGCCAAUGUCAUCGCCAUCUCCCAAAAGCCGCUCGACGUCGUCCACGCCCACCGCGGUGGCACGGCGGCUCUUCCCUGCCUCGGUGCACGCAUCGGAGGCCGUGCACGUCGUCUCCACGGGGACGACAGCUCGACGACGGUGAGAGAGGAGAGCUGCACGGAAUGACGGAAGACGACGUGUAUGCAUGUGUAACCGUGCUCGAUUGAAACCAUGUAAUGUAGAGACAGUAGAGUUGUACUAAUCACCGGUGUGCGUACGUAUUUUGUUUAAGGAAUUUACCUGUCAGGCUGUGAUACCCCAAAAUACAGAAUUCUCCUGUCGUGCACGACUGAAUCUAAUAAGUACUACCGUCGUUCCAAAAAAAAAAAAACCCUCCUACAAUUCUAGAUUCAUUCUCAAUCUGAACUUUGAACAAAUGUAUAGAUAAGAAUAUUAGUAAUAACAACGCCAAAUAAGUACUCAAUCCAUCGAUUUUUCUAAUAUUAAGUUUGACCACUCGUCUUAUUCACAGUUUUGUACAAAAUAUUAAUUUUUUGCUGUGUAUUGGUUUAUUAAUAAAAGUUCUUCAAGAAUGACUUAAAUUUGAAUAUAUUUGCAUAAUUUUUUUAAAUAAGUCGAGUGGUCAAACUAGCGGUAAAAAAAGUCAAACGACUUACAAUUUGGGAUGGAGGGAGUAUAUUAUAAAAAUAUGUUUCAUGACAAAUCUAAUACUAGUACAUAUUUAGUACGAUAAAUAUUAUUUUUAUAUAAAUAUAAAUUUAGUUAAACUUAAUCCAAUUUAACAUAACAAUUACAAAAUUGCAUGUUUUUUGGGACUAGAUUUCUCAUAUUUCUAAAAGUUUCCAACAUGUAGUUAAUAGCUAACCGUUUAGUUAUAGAAAAUAUUUUUUCCGAAACAAAUGUCUGGUAUCGGUUAUACAAUUUCGUAUGUCGUAGUCAUGCUCAACUAAUAAUAACACUUUUAGUGUUUUACAGUGCAAAAUUCUAAUUUCAAUUUCGGUAGGUUUCGAUCGAGCAUUUUCUUUUAACAAAAUCAAACAUGUAUGGAACUCAAAUCUAUUCUGGGUGAGCCCAACUCAUUUUAUAUCUCCUCUGUUGUUCUCUCCUAAACCGGGCCAAAUUCAUUUUCUCCACUGGGCCGACCAUCUGACUAACUGGGCCGGGGCCCUGUUUGUCAUCUCUUCUCUAGUAGGGUGUUGUCUCCUUUUUUUUUGUGUGUGUCUUUUUGUGCAGUGUUUUGGUAAGCUUUGAACUUGCUAAUAUGUACUGUAUAAGUGCUUGUAAUGAAAAAAAUACUACAUGAUUUUUCCUGGUGGAUUAAAAAUGAUUGAUAUGCUACUACCAAAUCAUGAUUGGCUCCUUCACUUCUCCGUGCUGACCCGUUUUAAGAAAAAAAGAGAUCACUAAUGACCCAUUUUUCUUUUGUUCCACAAAAUAGCUUCACCAGUGAAGCUAAAGUUAUUUUUAUUAAAUGGUAUAAAAUAGCUUCGUAGGGAAGAUAGCAGAGAGAAAUACGGAAAAACUGGUAUUUUUAGAUCACUGAAGAGCAUCUCUAUCAGUCUCCCAAUAUAACUCUUCCAAUAAGAUAGUAUUGGGUAGCCCAAUAUCACUUUCUAGAUUUAUUGGGGGAGAUGCUGCAGCAAUACCCUAAUAUAUCUCCCCUAAUACCGGUAUAAAAGGUGAGUCACAUAGGACUGUAAAAGAAAAUAUGAAUGAAAAAUGGUAGUUCGGAUGGUCCCCAUGGUACUGGGAGAGUUGUAUCUCCCCUUUCUUUGAGUGAAGAUGAAGGAAAUAUUAGUGGCCACAAGGAGAAGUAUUGGGGGAUUGCGCUGGAGAAGAAAAAAUAGCAUAUUUCUUCAAUAUAAGAGCGGCUCAUAGUAAGAACGGCUGGAAACACCAGCCGCCCUUACAGCGGUCACUAGUAAGAGCAGCUGAGAACACCAGUCGCCCUUAUAGUGGACCACUAUAAGGGCGGCUGAUGUUGAACCGCCUUACAGUGGAAUCCACUAUAAGAGCGUUUGCAUAAGGGCGGCUAUGCCAGCCACCAUUACAGAGCUUAUUUAGUCGCCCCUGUUGUGUCUGACUGUAGUAGUGUUGUCCCAACUUGGGUUCCAAUUAAAAGGCACUUUGGCAUAUGCUAGGUUAAGCAUAUGCAAACAAUUAUAUAAAAAGGUACAUGGUAGUGCUCCUGUCCAUGGCUUAGGUGUGAUCGGUCUCAUUUCUUCUAGAACAAAGAUAAAAAAUGUGUCGAUGUAUGCGAAGUGGUGUAAGAUCCUGUUUGGUAGAGCUCCGACUCGAGCGAAAACAACAGCUUCGGUUGUAUAUAUAGUUUCACCUGCAGAGCAGAUUCACUUGAAGAGCUAAAGCUGUUUUUAGACCGUUUGAUAAAACAGCUCCUUAUUCUAAUGAAAAGAUAUGAAAGGUCUAAAAUACACUUUUUUCUUUUUUUCUCUCCUUCUAUUUUUCUUUAUUUAUUUUUUCUCUCUCUACACCACCGCACCAUCUCACCGCACACAGAUAUCUCUGUUACAAGUGGAAUGCCAAAGUACGAGAACAGAGAGGAAUAGAAUGAACUCGGGGUGUUUCUUUAUUCAUUGAUCACGGGUAUUUAUACAAGUCGGGGGGGAGAGGAAACUCUCGCCCCAAGUAAACUCGAGCCCACGAUGAGUCGUGGGUGAUAUCACGGAGGUGGAACCGGUCUCCACGGGUACGUGCGUAGUCGUGGGUGAUAUCCCGUAGGCGGUCGUGGGGGACGUCGUAGUUAGGAUAGAUCUCCCGUAAGAGGAUCCGAGGAGAUGAGAUCACCCCAGAUAAAAUAUCCGUAACACUCCCCCUUGAUCGAAUCACUUGUUGAGAUCAAUGAAUCAUAUUGCUCCUCCAAAAAUUCCUGUAGGAUAAAAACGAGGAAAAAUACGUGUGUAUAUGUGCUAUAGUAAAACUCCUUAAAACCGCUUGGGAAAAGAAGGAGAAAGUUAUAGCACUUAAUGAUUGCCUCAUUGUAAACUAAUAUGAGAAAACCUUUGCAGGAGAAAAACUCAUGUUGUAGUUUAGAGGACAAUAUGUGUCUUUGAUACCCCUUUAAAAACCCCUGUGGGGAAAACAAGGAAUACGACACUCUUGUGUUAAUAUUAUCUCAUUAAAAACUCCUUAUGAGAAACCUUGUGAGGAAAAACUCAUAGAGAGAAAAGAGUAUAAUAUGAUGGUGUAGACAGGCCAAUGUCUAGGAGAUUUCUCCUCCUGAACUUUGCAAAUCUCUAAGUCGUCGCAUACCAAUUCCUUUGACACAUUUUUCAAAUGAGGAAGCUGGUAGGGACUUAGUGAAUAGAUUAGUGAGAUUGUCGCAUGAUUUGGUUUUCAAGAUAUCAAUCUCUUCUUUUUGUUGUAAUUCAUGAGGAUAGAACAACUUUGGAGAGAUGUGUUUGUUGAUAUUGCUCUUGAUAUAGCCUGUCUCCAUCUGUGUAACACAAGCAGCAUUAUCUUCAUAGAUAAUGGUUGGAGCUAUGAUAGCUUUAAGACCACACGACUGCUGUAUGUGGUUGAUCAUUCUGCGAAGCCAAACGCAUUCACGUGAGGCCUCAUAUAGUGCGACUAUUUCAGAAUGAUUCGUGGACGUUGUUGUCAAGGUUUGCUUGGAUGAUGUCCAUGAUAUGGCGGUUCCGUUUUGUAAGAAUAUGAAACCGGUUUGUGAUCUGCCAUUAUGGGGGUCUGAUUGAUAUCCAGCAUCGGUGUAUCCUAUCAUCUCAGAAUUUGUUCCUCUUUGGAAGAAUAAUCCGAGAUCCCUUGUGCCAUUAACAUAUCUGAGGAUCUGUUUUACUCCUGUCCAAUGUCUCUUGGUAGGAGCGGCACUGUGCCUUGCUAGCAAAUUCACUGCGAAAGCGAUGUCAGGCCUGGUGCUAUUGGCAAGGUACAUCAGUGCUCCAACGGCACUAAGGUAUGGGACAUGAGGUCCUAGGAUUUCCUCCCCCUCAUCUUGUGGUCUGAAUGGAUCAGUGUUUAGUCCCAAAGACCGAACAACCAUAGGGGUUUUGGAAGGAUAUGCUUUGUCCAUAUUGAAUCUCUCCAAUACUUUUUGGACAUAUGCAGAUUGAUGCACAAAGAUUCCAGUUGAAAGAUGCUCAAGCUGUAGGACUAAGCAGAAUUUGGUUUUACCCAAAUCCUUCAACUCGAACUCCGUCUUAAGAUGUUUGCAUGCCUCAUCAAUAUCUUGUUUGUGGCCGAUGAUAUUUAAAUCAUCAACAUACACCGAUAUGAUGCAGAAUCCCGUUUGGGAUUUCUUGAUGAAGACACAUGGGCAAUCAUCACUGUUGGAGUAGCCCUUCUGCAGAAGGUACUCGCUGAGUCGGUUAUACCACAUUCUUCCCGACUGCUUUAAGCCAUAGAGUGAUUUCUGUAGCUUUACACAAUACAUGUUGCGAUUUGCGUUUUGAUUCGGUAUUGGGAUUCCGUCAGGAACCUUCAUGUAUAUGUCCGAAUCGAGUGACCCAUGGAGAUAUGCAGUCACUACGUCCAUCAACUGCAUAGAUAGACGAUUUUGUACAGCCAGAGAGAUUAAGUAUCGGAAUGUUAUUCCACCCAUGACUGGAGAGUAUGUUUCAUUGAAGUCAAUGCCGGGUCUCUGCGUGAACCCUUGUGCUACAAGCCUCGCUUUGUGUCUCACCACCUCAUUGUUCUCGUUCCGCUUUCGGACGAAAACCUACUUGAAUCCCACAGGGAAUACUUGUGGAGGUGUAGGUAUUACUUGUGAGAAUACCUGUCUUUUUGUGAGCGAGGAUAUUUCUGCUUGGAUUGCAUCCUUCCAUUGGUUCCAGUCCGAGCGCGUUUUGCACUCUGCCAUGGUCUUAGGAUCUGGAUCAUUUUCAAGGAUUUCGGCAAUCAUUGCGGAGAAAUAUGAGUCGACAAUUGUAGUCUUUCUAUCAAAUGACUCCCCAGUUUCUGCAUAGUUGAUGGAAAUUUCAUGGACCCUUUCCGAUGCAUUAUCAUUUCCCAAGAUGGUCGCAUCAGGGUAUUCCGAUGUCCCAGCAUCAGUAAUUGAGUGCACUGUUGAUGUGGGAUGUGAAGGUUGAACCUCCACUGGGUGUUUCUCAACAUGAGGUUGAGCUGCAUUUACUAGAUCAGAAGAUUUUGUCUUCCGUUUCCUUUGCUUGCUAGAAGCUGUAUCCGUGGAGAUAGCCGUACUUCUCCCCCCUCUUACUAGGGAGUUGAGUAGUUUUGUUUGGUACCUCUACUCUUUCCGGUACAUUUCUCGCUGGAUUAUAGGAUUUUGUAACACCCUUAUAAUCAGUAAAUGUGUCUGGCACGUUGUUUGCAAUGUGUUGCAAAUUUAUGAUUUUCUGAACUUGAAGUUCAGAUUCUGAAGUACGUGGAUCUGAGUUUGGUAUGUCUGGAGCAUCCCAAUUGAUUUCCUGGCAUUGUUUGUGAUGUGGUAAGUCUCCCCCUAAUGCCGGAAAAUGAUCUUCAUUGAAGAUACAAUCAGCGUACCGGGCCGUAAAGAGGUCCCCUGUGGUGGGCUCUAGAUACUUUAUGAUCGACGGAGAUUUGUAUCCCACAUAGAUCCCCAAUUUUCUAUGGGGCCCAUUGUUGUACACUUCGGUGGUGAGAUCGGUACGUAUGUAGCGCAACCGAACUUUCACAGAUGGGAAAUGCUUGGGGGAUUUCCAUGUACUAGUUGCAACGGGGACGUUGCAUGGUAUGCAGUUGGUCGCAAUUGAAUCAGUUCAGCAGCGUGUAAGACUGCAUGACCCCAACAUGAGGUUGGUAGAUUGCAAUUCUGCAAUAGCGGUCUAGCAAUGAGCUUGAUUCUCUUGAUGAGAGACUCGGCUAACCCAUUUUGUGUGUGGACAUAUGGGACAGAAUGUUGUACUUGUAUUCCUAAGGCCAUACAAUAGUCAUUGAAGGCUCGAGAGGAAAAUUCAGCAGCGUUAUCCAUCCUAAUGGAUUUUAUUAGAUGUUCAGGAUGUUGCGCUUUGAGUUUGAUAACUUGCGCAAUUAUUUUGGCAAAAGCAUGGUUUCGUGUCGAUAGCAGAGACAUAUGAGACCAUCGUGUGGAUGCGUCUAUUAGAACCAUGAAGUACCUGAACGGUCCCGAUAAAGGAUUUAUCGGGCCACAUAUGUCCCCUUGAAUGCGUUCAAGGAAGUUGAGUGGUUCAACUUUGAUUUUGAGGAAAGAGGGCCUCAAAAUUAAUUUCCCUGUUGCACAUGCAGUGCAAGUAUAAUCUGAGGAUUGGAGAAAUUUUGCAUUGGUUAGCGAGUGACCAACAGAAUUGCUAGUAAUUUUUCUCAACAUCCCUAUGCCAGGGUGACCAAGGCGAUCAUGCCAAGUUUGGAAUGCAUUGACAUUCUGAAAAAUUACUUUGUACGCAACAUGUUGUACGGGUUUUAUGUAUGAAUAGUACAAUCCAGACGAAGUUGAGGGAAUUCUUUCGAGAGUAUCUCUGCCAUAUCCGUUAUCCUUUGUAAUGAGGAGGAACUCCUCAUUAUUUUGGUGAUGGGUUUCGAUAUGAUACCCAUUUUUGCGGAUAUCUCUAUAACUCAAUAAGGUACGAGUUGAAUCAGGAUACAAAAGUGCAUCCUCGAUUGUAAUUGUUGUACCCAUAGGGAGCGUAAUAAUGGCUCUUCCAGAGCCUGCUAUUACGGCAUCGCGUCCAGCGAUUGUUAAAACAUUUCCUUUGCUCUUUGUGAGAGUUUGGAAAUAUUUUAUUUCCCUGAGUAUAGAGUUAGUGGUGCCACUGUCCACUAGGCACAUUCCUCAUCCAUCGGAUUGACUCCCGUACAAUCUAUGAAAAAUAGAGAAUAUAAAAGAGAAUGAAAUUCUCAACAUGAAUAUAUAUGAAAUAUAAACAUUUAUUGAUGUUGAAUUGUGCAUAAGUCAAUGAACAUCAAACAGAGUGCAGCAAAAACAAAUUGUCAAUUAUUACAAUCCCGAAGGCGAAUGAUGAAAUUAAAAUCUCAAAUGACUAUCAAUCUAGUUGUAGUCGCCGAACAGAUCAUCAGAAUUGUAUUCGAUGAUCAUGUUGUUGGUGGAGUCAUUUGCCAUGCCAUCAGGUGGAAGAGGCGCCAUUGUGUUGCUCGGUCCCGCUGGGGCGGGGUUGGAACAUCCUGGGGCUGCCAGAUCGUUGAAGUGUGCUUCAGACGGUUGUCCACCUUGGUUGGAGCGUCCUUGGUUGGAGCGUCCUCGUCCCACGGAAUGCAAGUACAGUUCCACAAGUUGCUUAGGGGUGCGACAUUUCUUAGUCGGGUGGUUGUAGCAACCACACUUUGUACAAGUUGAGUACUUGUAUUUUGACUUAGAGUUGUUGCCUUUGCCCUUAGCACCUCGAGGCUUACGGGGUCCCUUGCGCUUGUUUUUGCCUUUGGAGGAUCUAGGAUUGCCAUUUUUGUUGGCAUCCUUUGGUGUCUGUUUCUGAGCAUUUGCAUGUACUUCGGGCAAGGGCUUGGCACCGACAGGGCCUUGAUUGGAGUUCCAUAUGAGGAGCUCAUUGUGCCUCUCAGCCUGAAGUAAUGUUUUAAUGAGAUCAGAAUAGACUAUGAAUCCCCUCUCACAGUAUUGCUGUUGGAGGAUCAUUUGAGCGGGAAGCAUGGUAGACAAGGUCUUUUCAAUUUUCUCCGCAUCAGAUGGCUCCUUUUCACAAAACCUCAGUUUGGAACUGAGUUUGUGCAUGGCAUGGUUAUAUUCAUUCACAGAUUUGAAAUCUUGAAUGCGGAGGUGGUUCCACUCAUGAGUGGCCUCCGGGAGAAUAACUGCCUUUUGUUGCUCAUACCGCUGUUGCAAAAGCAAGCCAGAGAGCCCGUGGGUCCUCUUCCAUCAGAUAUUCAGCUUUGAGAUCUGAAUGGAUGUGGUUCCUUAUUAUGUAUAAGGCAUGGUACUUAGAUGGUUCAGACAAUGGAGCAUCUCCCUGUUUGGGAGUGUCAAUUGCCCUAUACAUUCCGCAUAACGAUAGACUCACUUUGAGAUCCAUCGCCCAUGUAGGGAAGUUGUGUCCAUCAAGAGCUAGCUCGGCAAAUUCCUUCUUAGAAGAAACUUGGGCAUCGGACUCUUUGGUGGCCAUUGCCUACAUGUUUGUUUGCAUAAAUUUAAUUAAUUUUAGGGUUGUAAAAUUAACAAGAAUGUAAUUGCAUAUUUAUAUAACAAUGUAAAUUGCGUAUAUAAAAACAAUGUAAAAUUGCAUAUGUAAAGCAAUGUAAAAUUGCGUAUGUAAGACAACGUAAAAUUGCGUAUGUAAAGCAAUGUAAAAUUACGUAUGUAAAGCAAUGUAAAAUUGCAUAUGUAAAUAACAAGGUAGACUUGUUUAUGUGUAGCAAGGUAAACUUGCAUAUGUUUUAUGGAAUUUUGAUUUCUCAUUUUGUGGAACAUAGGUAGUCACCAUGGAGGUGUAGACCAUUUUAUAUUUUUCACUUUGGGAUGUAGUCCUUGUAUGUUUAUUAUUAAAUUUGGAAGAGCACUUUGAGGAAUAAAUCCCGCAGUAGUAUGAGUACUACCUUGUGGUCGCCAAAAUAAUAAUAAAGUAAGGUGACAUCUAGUGAAAAAUAGUAUUCCAAAUAGGGAGAAAAAUUGACCAUAAAAAUAUUUACAUAUGUACAUGUGAUAGGGAAUUGUAAAGACAAAACACGUUCGACAUGUAACGAAUUUUUCAUUCAUAAUAUAAUUGCGGAAUGUAAAAAUAUUUACAAUGCAAUGUAUACAUCAGUGUCUAAAUUUACAAGAAAAUUAGACUAAAAAGCUGAUGUAAUUUUAGGGAAUGAAAAAUGCUAUGUAAAUAAAUAAAUAAAAUUAGCUAAUGCUUAAAAAUGAAAAGCCAAUAAUAACUGGCCCAGGCUGAAAGCUCGCAGGCCCUAACCUGGGCCUGGGCCACCAAUUUGGCCCAAUUGGAGGAGGGGGGAGUGGGCCAUAUAUAAGCCAGGGGUUAGGGUUUGCCCCAGCUUCCCAAGCCGCCGCCGCCAGCCACCAGGGGCUCUGCCCCAAGCCGCCGCCGAGAGCAGGGGGGGCGCCCCAGCACGUGGGGCCCGUGGGGCCGCGUCGGUCCGCGCGCCCGUGUGGGGCCGACUGCAGUGGAGUGGCUGGCCGUGGUCGUGGCGCAGGUGUGGGGCCGACUGCGCGAGGCCGAGCGUGGGCGCGCCGUCGUGCCGCGCCCGCGCCCUGGAGCUGCGGUAAGCCAAGGCGGGCGUCGCGCGGAGCCUUCGCUCGGGGCGGUGAAGCCGCGCAGCGGCGCGGGCAGGGGGCCGUGCCACGCGCGCGGGCGAGCGAGGGCCGCGCCGCCAAGCCGCCGUGCCGAGGCCGAGCAGGCAGGCGUCGCGCGGAGCCGCCGCUCGGGACCGGUCGUCGUGCCACGCUACGGGGCCGAGCAGGGUCGCGAGACGGCCGACGCCUCCUUGCCGUGGUGCCGCUCGUAGGAGGACCGCGGCAAGGCCACACGAGGGCGACCAUGCCGAGCAGCGACAGCUCGACCUCCUCCUCCCCCUCCCCCGUGGAAGAGCUCAAGCCAGGUGAGCGCGUCCCCGAGCCGAAGGCCCGUGGGGGACGUUGAUCCACGUGCGGCGGAGACGCGGGGGCGGAGUUGGUGGCGGCGGCGGUGGAGCAGCGAGCGCCGGGUCGACGAAGUACGCCGACAGACGAGUUGGCGCCGACAUCCGCGCCGCUAUGGUCGGUGGAGACGGACGGCGCGGAGGCGGACUGUGCGCAGCACACUCGGAAGACGGUGUCGGCGUCGGGUACCGAAUCGGCGACUGCGGCUCUAUGCCCAGUGACAGCCAUUGGCUGGCCACCAUAGAUGGUGGCGGUGGUGGGCACGGGCCGUCGCCGUGGAGUGGGCACCGAGGCCGGGGUGGAGCCGGCAAGGCGAGGACCGGCGCUGGAGGCGCCGGUGGAGUUGGUGCCCUCGACGGUGGUGCCGCGGGCGGAGCCGCGGAUGGCGCCGCGGGCGAAGCCGUGGACGACACCACCGAACGCCGUGACGGAGGGGCUACGUUUGCACGUCGGUGUCCCCCGAAACGACGUCGUACAGGAAAACGCUCGGGGUUCCUGUCGAGAUCACGGCGUUCGCCCCGAAAGCGAUAGCCGCGAGCCUCUCCAAGGAGUUCCCGGAUGUCCUCCAGUAGUUCCGCCUGAAGGCGGUUGUUGCCGAAGUGUGUGCCCAAUGUCCGGGCAUGGUUCAUCGCCAUCCAGACGACUUGUAGGAUGAGAGAAGCCAUUGAGGCAGGAUUACGGCGAGGGAAAGGCAUGAUUCUACCUUGGGGUGAUGCCCUGGGCGAAGGUCGAUCCCUCGACGAUGUUCUAUCCAACCGAGCUAUUUCCCUCUGGGGUAGGGGAGAGCGAUGUGCUGAUAACGUGUUACAAGUGGAAUGCCAAAGUACGAGAACAGAGAGGAAUAGAAUGAACUCGGGGUGUUUCUUUAUUCAUUGAUCACGGGUAUUUAUACAAGUCGGGGGGAGAGGAAACUCUCGCCCCAAGUAAACUCGAGCCCACGAUGAGUCGUGGGUGAUAUCACGGAGGUGGAACCGGUCUCCACGGGUACGUGCGUAGUCGUGGGUGAUAUCCCGUAGGCGGUCGUGGGGGACGUCGUAGUUAGCAUAGAUCUCCCGUAAGAGGAUCCGAGGAGAUGAGAUCACCCCGGAUAAAAUAUCCUUAACAAUCUCUUCUCGAUUGUCGCUCCCAUCCGCAACCUGCAUCCACUUCCUCAUGCCGUCGCAUCUCCUCUCCGCUCUUCGUAGCUCCAUGGACAGCCACACCCGCGCCCCGUGCUCGCGCUUUCACGCUGAGGGCAAACUUGCCCAGGGCCCACGCAUCUGACAGGGAGCCAAGGGAAGCUCGAUUUUUCAGCUCCAUCUUCCAUCUUCGUUCUCUCUUACCGUAAUCUACGGGACUUUUUUCAUGGAGCUGAUGUCAUAUUAUUGGACCCGUUUGGUAGUUGGAGCCGUAAAACAGCUACCGGAGCCGGUCUGGGAGCGCUACCAAACGGCCCCUUACCCUGGCUAAUUCACUGAUCAGCUGAAUUGUGAGCACAGUUUCAAAGAGUACAAGACUACAAUCUAGAGUCCACAUCUAGAGUCCACAUACAUAGAUAUGCUUGACAUUAUUGAAAUAUACUACUUCCCAAGCUCUUAAACUAUUCAGCUACUUGGCUUGCCUAAAGGGGUGUUUGGUUAGGGUUGUUAAAGUUUAACAUAUAUUGUAGCAUUUUAUGUUUUAUUUGAUAAUUACUGUCCAAUCAUAGAACUCAAAAUAUUCGUCUCAUAAAUUACUCUCUAGCUAUGUUUUUAGUUUCGUAAAUAAUUUAUAUUUAGUAUUUCAUGUAUGUGUCUAAACAUUCGAUGUGACGGGCAGUAAACUUUAACGGACGCAACCCAAGAGCACUUGUUCACAAUGAAAUGAGUGCGCGGUAGACAGUAGCAGCCAAAAGCUAAUAAAGAUUUCAAGACAAUCAGAGCUCCUAGCCUGUUGCGAUAUGAUGCUGCAGAAAUUGAUUUUUCAAGACCAUCAGAGCUCCUAGCCUGUUGCGAUGCUGCAGAAAUUGAUUUUUCAACAACCCCUCCGUAUUUUAGUAGACGGUGGCUCUAUCUGGGCCAUACUUAGGCAAGGCUUUGGCACGCUGGGCUCUUGGGCUCAAUACAAAAGCAGGCCAUGAGAUGCAUGGGCAUUCUGGUCUGCCCAUAUAUAAAAUAUGGAGAGGAGGCAUGUGCAUAUCUUUACCUAAUAUGUAAACAUGAAAAUUUUAGGCCUUGUUCAGUUCGCAAAAACUUCUGAAAAACGGCACUGUAGCACUUUCGUUUUUAUUUGACAAACAUUGUCCAAUCAUAGAGUAACUAGACUCAAAAGAUUCAUCUCGCGGUUUACAGAUGAACUGUGCAAAUAGUUUUUAUUUUCAUGUAUAUUUAAUGCUCCAUGCAUAUGCCGUAAGAUUCGAUGUGACGGGGAAUCUUGAAAAAUUUUGGAAACUAAACAAGGCCUGUAUGCCCUGUAACUCUAUCCGCCCUUUCUAGAAGUUAACGUACGCAAAACAGCAACCUCGCAACAUGGAAGGGUCUAGGUCUCACUCGGACAUCCAGGCAGGAGAGGAGUUGACACCGAGCCGCGUCAGUGAGGAGGGCCAAGUUCCGGCUGACUUUCUUGGAGCGGAACCUGAGCCCACGCUCGGGAGGCGCGCCCUAUCCCGGAGGCCGGAGAGGAGGAAGACGCCCGUGGCUCUUACGGAUUCCCCCGGCUCCCCUGCUCUGCUCUGUGGCUCCGACACGCCGCCGGUCCCAGCCCCGAGGUUAGUGGCCUUGAGAUUUUGCUUUGCUUUUGAGAUUUGAACUGAGGCCUUGUUCGGAUGUGAAAAAAUUUUGGAUUUCGCUACUGUAGCACUUUCGUUUGUUUGUGGUAAAUAUUGUCCAAUCAUAGACUAACUAGGGUCAAAAGAUUCGUCUCGCGAUUUACAGUCAAACUGUGUGAUUAGUUUUUAUUUUCGUCUAUAUUUAAUGUUUCAUGCAUAUGCCGCAAGAUUCGAAGUGACAGGAAAUCUUAAAAAAAUUUUGGAUUUCGAGGUGAACUAAACAAGGCCUGAUUACAAGCUAGCUUGCCGUGUUGAAUUUGCUUUCCUAUGUGAGAACUGUGCAGCUGGCUAGGAUUAUAGUGUUGGUUUUCGAAACUACAUGGUGGGGAAGAGAAUGCAGGUUAUUGGACAGAGAAAAAUAAUCAAGCUAGCUUUUUUUUGGGAGAAUGUACACAUGUUGAGAACUCCAUGAACUGGUCUGGCUGCUGGCUUCUAAUAAACAUCAAGGGCUGCACGUGCUUUGGGUCGAACGAUACCUCGUGAAAUUCUAUACUGUGCAGUUUUAAAUAUUUUUAGUUAUAUUUCAGUCUAAAAAUCCAUGUAUGGCUUGUAGCACUAGAGAAAGAAAGUAGGGGCAUAUAGAGACAGUGAUGUUUGUUUCCCAUCUUCCACCAGCUCUGUUGCUCUUGUUUUUUCUCUGGUAGGAUAAUAAUUAUGUUAUGACAUGGUUUGUCGCUACGAGUGGUAUUCAACAUUUUAGUCUUGUCAAUGGCCUGCAAGUUUUUUUUAAAUGUUUGAUGAUGUUUAUGUUCAAUUCUCUCUGUUUGGUGUACUGGAUCUGCUGCGACGUACUUUCAGUAUGAGGGAAGUAGGGAGCAGCCUACCUGUCGAGUGAGGAGAGUGCAUGGGUUCACAAUGCUUCAGGUUUAUAAAAUGCUGUUUACAUGGCCCAUUCCAAAUAAAACGGUUUACUGUAGUUUAGACGCAAGUUAUUCUAACUCGUAUGAGCAUGAGUUAUAUAUAUAAGUCCAGAUAAAAAAAACUCUUCAUUGUUCGGUAGUUAGAGGGAGACAGACAAAAAAAAUGGAUGGACCAAAAAAGAGCCUGAAUUUUAUAUAUAUAUAUAUAUAUAUAUAUAUAUAUAUAGAGAGAGAGAGAGAGAGAGAGAGAGAUAAAUUUGAUAGCUUUUUUUUCUCCCGUAGCAACGCACUGGCAUUUUUGCUAGUUAUAAUAACAAUAUAAAUAAAUUGUCCACGCAUGUGAGAUGGUGUGAGCUACCUGCUACCAUGGCUUAGCUAUAGUUAAAUUUAGUCCAGUGAAGAUCUGCUGAACAGAACAGUACGUGAGCUGAGGGAAGCAGUCACAAACAACAGAGAAGUACAAGGGUGCACAUGGACAUGCUUCACAAUUUCGAUACAUUCUUCCAAGCACUCCAACUGUUCAGCAACGUGGCCUGCAUGCUGCCAUGUCCAUGUUCAUCUUCAUGUCCAUGUAGACGAGAGUGGAUGCAUGCAUAUAUAUUCAACUAUAUACUAGUGAAGAAGCUUAUUGCUGUUUAUUUCAUCCAAUUAUUGCAAUGAUACACGUACGUGGAAAUGAACACACAGACACACGGUACAUAUGCUUGAUUUCCUCUCGCGCUGCACAGUCCAUCCAUACACAGAGAUCGACACACGCAGCCACAACAUCCAAAAGCUAGCAAAACCUCUCAUCUUCAUCCAUCAGACGACCUCCUCCUCCUUGCCGGCGACGACGACGCUGCCGAGGCGGACGGCGUUGACGUAGUCCCUAGGGCUAUGCGACGCGAUGCCGGGCACGAGCAGUCCAGUGGCACGGUAGAGCAACGAGACGGCGCCCUCCCUGUAAUCCUUGCCCUCCUUGGUCCACAGGAACGCGCCCUUGAACAGAUCCCCCCACGCAUUCCCAUACAUGGACAGCAGGUACCUCGGGUUGAAGUAGUUCGGGUUCGGCGCGUCGCCGCCGUUGGCGAUCUCCCGUCCCUUGUACCACCCGUCGAAGUAGACGCAUGUCCCGCCGUGCGCGAACUCGGCGACGGGCGGCGCGUCGAAGGGCACCCGGGGCACGACGUCGUAGCGGUACACCACGCGGAGCGGCUCCACGGGCACGUUCCCGCGCACGUACGCCGCGAACACCUUGUCGCCGACGCGAGGCUGCCCGUAGGUGACCACGGACAGGAGCCUGUCCAGGAUGUCGCGCUCGCCGUGGAACGCCAGCAGCGCCGGGAAGAUCGCCGCCAGCGCGCCGCCCAGGCUGUGGCCCGUGAUCACCACGUUGGCGUUCGGGUGCUUCUUCAGCUGCGCGCGG
rnacentral:lncRNA from 1 species